UAGAAAUUAAUACUUUUUAUUUAGCAAGGAUCCCUUAAAUUUAUCAAAAGUGAUGAUAAAGAUAUGUAUAAUGUUAGAAAAGAUUUCUGUUUCAGAUAAAUGCUGUUCUUCUGAACUUUCUAUUUAAAAAAAAACCUGAAAAAAUUAUACUCGGCUGUUUUCAACAUCAUAAUAAUAAUAAUAAAUGUUUUUUGAGCAGAAAAUCAGAAUAUCAGAAUGUUUUCUUAAGGCUCAUAUGACUGGAGUUAUGAUGCUAAAAAUAGCUUUGAAAUCACAAUUAAUUUUUAAUUACAUUUUAAAAAUAUAUUCAAAUAGAAAAGUUAUUUUAUUUAAAAAAUUUACUGUUUUGCUGUAUUUUGGAUCAAAUAAAUACAGGCUUGGUGAACAGUAGAGAAAAAACAUUAACAAGCUUACUGUUCAAAAACGUAUAGGCAACUUUAAUUUUUCUCUAAUUUCUAGCUUUUAAUUGUCUUAGAAAUAUCCAACAAUAAUGAUAUAUUUUAUAUACUACAAACACUUUUUUUAUCACAUAAAGCAGAAUGGUUUCUAUACCGUAAUAAAUUCCAUGUCACCUGGAGAUUACCUGGAGAUUACUUGAAAAACACAAAUAAACCGUAUAUUGUAGCAAUCAUAUAUUUAAUAUCUUCUUGUUUCAGCACUGCUCUAGGAUUUUCAAUUAACGAGAAAUAUGAGUCAAUGGAUUAUGUGAACGAGAACGAUUCGUUCACCUAAAAGAUUUGUUCAAAAAGAAAAAUUUGUUCACGAAUGAAACAUCACUAUAAACAAGUCUAUUUAAAACUUCAGUAAAUGAACAUUUUUAAACGUCUGACAGUUGAAACUGGGACUAUGACAAACGCAGUUGGACCUGUUGACACUAUUUUGAGUGGGCGAAGGGAUCGUCUGAGGAGCCGCUCAUGCAGAAUACAGUGUCUUGAGACCUGUUUUUAAAGUUAGACUUCUAUUAACAGGAAACAAGGUUUAAAAAAAUGCAGCGCUCACGCUUGAGAUGCAAAAGUCAAAGAAGUCAUCAACGUUUGCUUUCAUGGAAAAGGAACAAUAGCGCAGUGGAACACAUAAAUACCUUCUGUCUGAAACAAGCUGAAGGUUGCGCAAUAUUACAAUAACAUAUUUAUUACCCUACAUAUGCUAUUUUACUACUUUUAAGUUGAAAUGUAUAGUUAUAUGGAAUUAAGAUGAAAGGACUGUUAAUACACAAACGUAAAUUCCAUAUAAUAACAAUUUUAACUGAAAGGUUGAACUGUGUUCACAAGAAAGGUUAUUUUUUUAUAAAUGUCUUUUGGGGCAGGUUGUCAACUGGUGUCAUAUAUACUCAGUAAUUUUAUACAAUUUAUUAAUUUACAAUAUACAAAGGUUUGGUUUAUAUGCAUUACAUUUUGUUUCGCUUCAUGGGUUAUUUUAACUGAUUUACACUAAGCAUUGCUGGGGGAAAGUUUUCCUAGUUCAAAGUUCAAUGUUCAGUGAAAACUAGUAGUUUUGGGCAGAAAAGUUCCUGUUUGAGUGGGAGGCAGGCUAACUGAGAAGUUCAUCACCUUAGUUCCCUCAGCAAAAAAAAGAGAAAAGGGUUUCUCCAAUGGCUUUUGGAUUACUGCAGAAAAUAAGCUCUGUGACCGACAAAGGUUUAUGAUCCUUGCACAUUUUAUCAUAACAACAUCUACAAAUUAACACAAUCUUUAUGAAUAUUGAAGCCUAAAACAGAAUCGCCAACCACCUAUUUCCUGGUUUACUAGGCUACUCAUGCUUGCAGCACCCUGAAGACUAGACUGCAUAGGCUACAUCCACAAUGCGUUGAUCCUUUUCUGAAGACAUAUAGCGCCAUCAAGUGGUCACAAUAAACAUUAACACAACAUGCAAUGGGCCUCAUUUAUUACACACCAGCAUAACGAUUUUUAACGUGGUUUACUAAUGAUUUACAUAGGAAUUUGUCCUACACACCAAGUUGACAUGAGACGUAUGAAAAAUGUUGGUAUUUUACAACCUCCGAUGGUUAAAGAGAUUUACUUUGACAAAACGUCAUGUCUUUAGGUAUUCAUGUAUAAAUGCUGCACCCUGCUGGACCACAAUAGAGCACUGAUUACUUGAAGCUUUUAAUAGGUUUAACCGAAAGGUUAUUUUUCAUACAUGACAAGUUGAUGCAAGUUGUAUACAGUAGACCAAAAACUCCGAAGCUGUUUGCCAAGAUCAACUAUUUUAAAUUACUAAUAAAAUCUGACACCAAGUCUAUCAUACAUUUGAAUCAAACAAAAAUAAUAAAAAAAAAACACAUUGCAAUGACUUUCUACCAUUUACUUUUAUUUAAGUUUAUUUCCUCCUUUCACCUCGUCUCAAAUUGGAAUGAACCCUUGUUGGAU
ensembl:lncRNA